UAACAAACAGGACUCUAGACAUUGUUAGUGGAUCAGUAGCAAUGGGGAAAUAUAGACCCCUAUAAACCAUCAGCAAGCCAUGCAAACAAAGCAGGCACCAACAUUGGCAACUUUCGUCAGGUAUGAUGCAGAUCUGAGCACAGAGACAUA